UACGUAGGGUCCGAGCGUUGUCCGGAAUUAUUGGGCGUAAAGGGCUCGUAGGCGGUUUGUCGCGUCGGGCGUGAAAACUCAGGGCUCAACCCUGAGCGUGCUUCCGAUACGGGCAGACUAGAGGUAUGCAGGGGAGAACGGAAUUCCUGGUGUAGCGGUGGAGUGCGCAGAUAUCAGGAGGAACACCGGUGGCGAAGGCGGUUCUCUGGGCAUUACCUGACGCUGAGGAGCGAAAGCAUGGGGAGCGAACAGG
rnacentral:rRNA from 1 species